AUUGAACGCUGGCGGCAUGCCUUACACAUGCAAGUCGAGGGGUAUAGUUCUUCGGAGCUAGAGACCGGCGCACGGGUGCGUAACGCGUAUGCAAUCUACCUUUUGCAGAGGGAUAGCCCAGAGAAAUUUGGAUUAAUACCUCAUGGUAUGUGAGAAUGGCAUCAUUUUCACAUUAAAGUCACAACGGCAAAAGAUGAGCAUGCGUCCCAUUAGCUAGUUGGUAAGGUAACGGCUUACCAAGGCAACGAUGGGUAGGGGUCCUGAGAGGGAGAUCCCCCACACUGGUACUGAGACACGGACCAGACUCCUACGGGAGGCAGCAGUGAGGAAUAUUGGACAAUGGGCGCAAGCCUGAUCCAGCCAUGCCGCGUGCAGGAUGACGGUCCUAUGGAUUGUAAACUGCUUUUGUACAGGAAGAAACACUGGUUCGUGAACCAGCUUGACGGUACUGUAAGAAUAAGGAUCGGCUAACUCCGUGCCAGCCGCCGCAGUAACAC
rnacentral:rRNA from 1 species